rnacentral:tRNA from 1 species
GGAGGGGUAGCAAAGCCUGGUCAAAUGCGCAGGGCUUAGAACUCUGUUACUUCGUGUAUUCCUGGGUUCAAAUCACAGCCCCUCCAC